GACAGAGGGGGCAAGCGUUGCUCGGAAUCACUGGGCGUAAAGGGCGCGUAGGCGGGGUGGCAAGUCGGUCGUGAAAGCCCGUGGCUCAACCGAGGAGGGUCGGCCGAUACUGCCAUUCUUGGGGGAUGCAGAGGAGACUGGAAUUCCCGGUGUAGCGGUGAAAUGUGUAGAGAUCGGGAGGAACACCGGUGGCGAAGGCGGGUCUCUGGGCAUUACCUGACGCUGAGGCGCGAAAGCGUGGGGAGCAAACGGGAUUAGAUACCCCGGUAGUCCACGCUGUAAACGAUGACGACUAGGUGUGGGGGGGUUCAGUCCCUUCCGUGCCGCAGCUAACGCAUUAAGUCGUCCGCCUGGGGAGUACGGCCGCAAGGUUGAAACUUAAAUGAAUUGACGG
rnacentral:rRNA from 1 species